UUGCGGUCAUAUCACGCUGAAACACCGGUUCACAUACGAUCACCGAAGUUAAGCAACGUAGAGCUUGGUUAAUACAUAGAUUAGUGACCGCUUGGGACUACCUGGUGCUGUAA